rnacentral:rRNA from 1 species
GAUCAUGGCUCAGAUUGAACGCUGGCGGCAUGCCUUACACAUGCAAGUCGAACGGUAACAGGUCUUCGGACGCUGACGAGUGGCGAACGGGUGAGUAAUACAUCGGAACGUGCCCAGUCGGUGGGGGAUAACUACUCGAAAGAGUAGCUAAUACCGCAUACGAUCUGAGGAUGAAAGGCGGGGGACCGUCGGCCGUCGCGCGAUGAGCGGCGAUGGCGAGAUAGGUAGUUGGUGGGAAG